UACGUAGGGGGCAAGCGUUGUCCGGAUUUAUUGGGCGUAAAGAGCGUGUAGGCGGCUUUACAGGUCCGUUGUGAAAACUCGAGGCUCAACCUCGAGACGCCGGUGGAAACCGUAAGGCUAGAGUCCGGAAGAGGAGAGUGGAAUUCCUGGUGUAGCGGUGAAAUGCGCAGAUAUCAGGAGGAACACCGGUGGCGAAGGCGGAUCUCUGGGCCGAUACUGACGCUGAGGCGCGAAAAGCGUGGGGGAGCAAACAGG
rnacentral:rRNA from 1 species